GAUGAAGAACGUAGUGAAAUGCGAUAAGUAAUGUGAAUUCAGAAUUCAGUGAAUCAUCGAAUCUUUGAACGCACAUUGCGCCCGUCAGUAUUCUGGCGGGCAUGCCUGUUCGAGCGUCAUUACGCCCCUCAAGUCCCCUGUGGACUUGGUGUUGGGGAUCGGCGAGGCUGGUUUUCCAGCACAGCCGUCCCUUAAAUUAAUUGGCGGUCUCGCCGUGGCCCUCCUCUGCGCAGUAGUAAAACACUCGCAACAGGAGCCCGGCGCGGUCCACUGCCGUAAAACCCCCCAACUUUUUAUAGUUGACCUCGAAUCAGGUAGGACUACCCGCUGAACUUAAGCAUAUCAAUAAGCGGAGGA
rnacentral:misc_RNA from 1 species